UGCCGGGUGGUGUAAUGGUAACACGGAUGGCUCUGGACCAUCAAUUCUAGGUUCGAAUCCUGGCCCGGCAG
rnacentral:tRNA from 1 species